CGGCCCUCGGCAGACGGCUCAGUAACACGUGGAUAAUCUGCCCUUAGGUGGAGGAUAACCUCGGGAAACUGAGAAUAAUACUCCAUAGAUCUAGGAUGCUGGAAUGCACUUAGAUCAAAAGUUCCGACGCCUAAGGAUGAGUCUGCGGACUAUCAGGUUGUAGUCAGGGUAAAGACCUGACUAGCCUACAACGGAUACGGGUUGUGAGAGCAAUAACCCGGAGACGAUAUCUGAGACACGAUAUCGGGCCCUACGGGGCGCAGCAGGCGCGAAACCUUCACAAUGUGCGAAAGCACGAUGAGGGGAUCCCAAGUGCUUGCUCGUAAGAGUAAGCUGUUUUUAUGUCUAAAAAGCAUAGAGAGUAAGGGCUGGGUAAGACGGGUGCCAGCCGCCGCGGUAA
rnacentral:rRNA from 1 species